CCUCUGCCCAGCAGGAUUGGUGGGUUUUAAAUUUUACUUCUUUUUGAUCCUGAGGGAGGAAGAAUGGCAGUGUCCAUUUCAGCUGUGCAGUGCCUGCUCUGCAGGGAAGCCCAUGGAAGAUGAAGACUUUCCCCUCUGCCCAGGCAGUUCCCCCAUGAGACUGAGGACUGGUUGGGCAGCAAAAGCUUCUGGUGUUCCUCAUUCCCAUGGUGACCACCCCCAGCCUGUCCUCAGGCACUGCAGGAUGGUGGCCCUGUCUGUACACUGAGCUCGUUGGUACCCUCUUUGCUGCUGGGGGUGGAGAUGUCUCUGCAGCUCUGCCCAGAUGCUGCCAUGGCAUCUUGGGGUUGUCCUCUCUGUGUCCCCUCUCUCUGUGGCAGCGUCUCUCUUUCUCCUCUGGUCACUGGAGCUUGUCCGGAGGGGCCAGACCAUGCCUGGAGCUGCUGGGCAGUGGGAGCAGCCUCUGGAGUAGCCCCCCAAGCCCCCAGCCCUGCACAGUGCUGCUCCUGCUUUGUCCUAGUUCAGUAAAACUGACCACGAGCUGUUAAUGGUUGGAUUCACACGGCUCCUCCAGCACACGAGGCCGUUUCUUGGCUCCCAGAUCUCCCACUGUGCAAAGGCUCCUUUGCUUCUGCCAGCAGCUGGAGCAGCCCCUCCUGCUCCAGCAACGCUCUGCCCCAAGCUCCUGCUUCCAAAAAGGCAGCAGGAGCUCCCUGUUCACUGCACAUCACAUUAACAGAUGAAAAUCAACUAACUGGUCUUUGAUUUCUGCUCUUGACACUGGCUUUACUUGUCACCUGGUAAUGUCACCUCUGCUGAUGCUGGCACAGAGCCUGCCUAUCCCAAACACUCGCCUUCAUCCCAUGCUCAGAGGCUCACCUGGUCUGUGUCAGAGUUAAGCAUGGAUUAUAGUUUAUUAAGUAAAGAAAAGCAAGUGGUUGGUCCUGGAGCUUUUACAGUUCUUGCUCUCCUAAUGUCUUCCUGUGGCCUGUGACUGUGCUGAGAGUUGAAAUCUGUCUGUAGCUGCAUCUCUCUGCCCAAGCCAUUUAACUGAUUUAAUUAUGUGCUUUGAGUUAAUUUCUGCACGAGGCUUUGGAAUUCCUGUCACGGAGGAGACUCUGUAAAUACGUAUUGUAUGUUCAGCAGUCAGGAAUCCUUUGGCAGUGCAGCUGGAUCCCAUGUGCUGAGAUCUGCUCGGCCUCCCUGUGGCCACCACGAAGCCGUGUGGCUGCUGGGCAGCUCUGCCCCUGCAGUGCCAGCCAGCAUUCCUGCCGUGCUGUUUGGGGACUCCUGGGUGUGACUCCAGAGUCAUUUAAAUCCCCUCUUCUCCUGCAGUUUGGGUGAGCUGCUUGCAGAUGGCUGCUGGUGCUAUGAGGGUAUGGCAGAAGGCAUCUCUCUCCAUAAAAACCAAGAUCGUGCUUGUGUCACACCUGUGAAACAAGGAACAAAGGAGGAGCCCUGGUGAAUGGCUGCUGUGUCCUCUUAGGGGUUUCUGUUAGCAGUGCACAGACAAAGGAGCUGUUGAAGUGUCACCCUAAAUGUGAUAUUGAAACACUCAUUGCAGCCUCCAUCUCGAAGGAGCCUGAGAAGUUUGAUGCUAUGAGGGCUCAUGUUCUGCCAAAACAUCCUCCUGCUUUGGGGUUAACUGAUGGAGAAUAUUCAGGGCUGAGCUUCAGGAGGCGAACUGAAGUGUUCCAGCUGACUGCUUCUGGCCCCAUCAGCAUUGUGUCUCCUCUCCUGAAUGCAAGGAUGGUGAUUCCCACUCCAACGGUGCCCCCAUGCAACACCACGCUGGCCUUGCUGCUGACUGUCUCCUGGAUGCCAAGAACCAUCUCCCACUGCCAGGCUGGGCAUUGUCCCGUUCAGAGCUGCUGCCCUGGGUGGGCUCCGUGGCAGCAGCGCUGACCUGCACCUAAGGAAGGGUAAUGCCCAGUGCCCAGGACAUUUGGUACAAGGUGAACCCAUGGGCAGGCUCACCAUGGCAAUGCUGGUGGAGAGGCUUCUCCCAGGCCAGCAUCAGCCCCUUGGCCAGAGAUAGCAGGGCUGUGCUGGAGGGGAAUGAAUGACCUGUGCUCCUGUAAACUGAAACAGGAGACUGAAAUGCCAUGUGCCCGCUGCAGAAUUUUUCCAGGGCACAGCAGAGCCAUGUGUAGUGCUUCAGCCCUCUUGUUCAGGGCACUGAGGGCUGUUGGUCUGAGUGCAUGAGAGAUCAAGAAUUUGUCUCUGGGGCGUUUUGUAGCAGCACCAUGGCCUCCUCCUCUCUUCCUUGCAUACCCCAUGCUCAUACUUGUGUGCUCAGUUCUGCUUGGUGGGGAAAAAGAACCUCUGCGUGCCAGGGAAAGGUCUUUGAUAGUGGAAGAGGAGCCCAUGAAAAACAAGCAGUCAGUUCUGUCCAUGGAGUAGUAUCACAAAUUGCUUUUCUCCCCUCAAGCAUCCUUUCCCCCUAGGCCCUGGCCAAAUUGCAAUACCACUGGUUGCAGCAUAAGUUCUGGGCAUUUUCAGUAAAGCUCCCUGCCAUCAUUGUUCUUAACAUGUGUGGGCAGAUGCAAAGUGCUCUGGGACUGCCAUGAAAUGCAGUGGAAGUGUAGAGGUCGAUGAACGUGCUCCUAUUUCAGCUUUUGCCAAGCAGAAAGAGGUUUUUUUGGGUGUGGUGAUGCCAUGGAGCAGUGGCAGGGUUGGGAGAGCCCAGCCUAGGUCAUUCAUCCCUAGCAGCCUGUGUCCUCUGGAUGUUGAGUAUCAGCCAAGAAGGGAUGCUGCUGAGUGCUUUUCUGCAGAGUGCAGGUGGUAAAGAGUUGAAAGGCACCAGCUCUGCUUGCUGACAGCUCCUGCUCAACAGGGUGUUUGGGAUUUCUGUGGAGCAGCCCCAGACAGACACAGAGCACUGCUGGUGGUUCAUGGAGAAAACCUUCCCUGUGCUUGGGGAGGGGCACCAGGACGUCUCCUGCAGCUCGUUAUGUAGAAGGGAGAGACCUGUAGUUGUUUCUCCUUGACUGAUCUCUGAUUUGGCAGUGAUCAUUAAAAUGGUUUUGUGUAUUGGAGAGUCACACUGAGCGGGGUGUAUUUGACUUGAGCCUCCCUCCAGGCUCCCUGCCGCCCACAGUGUGCAGCCCCCCGGGCAGAGCCUGAGCAAGGGCCAAAGAGCCUGGGAGUGGAAGUGGCAGCUCUGCCAAUGGACAAGGGCUGAGAGCGAGCAGCUUGGCUGUGCUGCCUGCUCCGCCAGCGGCCUCCGUGUCCCUGUGGUGUGAGCCCAGCCAGCGUGGCCUCGGGGCUCCUCCUGAGGCAGCGCUGGUAUAAUAACACUGAUGAAAAGCUGAUUAAUCCUUGUGAACGAGCCGCAAUAGCUUCCCUCUAGAACUGAAGAGAUUACCACUGAUUUGUCAUUCUGAUUGUUUCAAAGAGACGUGCAAUUAGUUGCUCUAAUUUAGCUCCGCUGGCGGAGCGGCGUGACAAGGGCGCCGCAAUCAGUGGGGCUGCGAUGGCAGCCACUGGUGGUGCAGCUGUGCCGACACCAUUUCACGGGCACAGGGCGGCCGCCAAAAUGGUGGAGCAUCACGUGCUCCUGUUGUGUUGUGGUGCAAAACCAACACGUUUUCGAAGGACCAGGUCCCCUCGGUGCUGUGUGGCACUGGAGCAGUGGGGCAGGCCUGGCUCAGGGCGUUCCGAGCCGUGCCGGUGGAGCUGGAGCUCAAGGGCUCCUGUGCUGUGUCUCAUCGGUGCUGGUUGUUCAGGAGACUCUUGGGAAUUCACAGGGAGAGCAGCGAGUGCUGGCCUAAAACCCUUACGAGGUGCUGGGCUGCACUGGAUGGUGGGCAUGACAUUGCACUUAGUUUGAUUAUAAAAUAGAAAGUCAUAAGGAAAUCUUGUUUUCUGAUUCUGCUCCCUCCAGCUAUUGGCCCUCUUUGCCAGGUGCAAUAAAAGCAGUCACUGGCACACGAGAGGGGGAGUAUUUGCUUGAGGUUACCCCUUUCUGAAGACUGUCUUUGCUUUGGAAAAGGUACAAAGCUGCCACAGAAAAUGAGGAGCUUGUGGCUCAGCCCCCCAGCUCGCUGCACUGGGUCAGCAGCCAACCCCCUCUGGGCAGAGAGGAGGGAACACAUGGGAUUUCAAAAUGUGUCCAUUUUCAGUGAGACAAAUCACUUAAAAAUCCAAUUCAAAAUGAAGAAAAUAAAAAUGCUUUAAAAACAAAA